AGUUGCGAUGAUGAUUAAACAUCUCGUUAAUCUGAUUAACAAAUGAGGAUAACUCUGUUUCCAUUCUUAACUAGAUUCUGAGC